rnacentral:rRNA from 1 species
UGGGGAAUCUUGCACAAUGGGGGCAACCCUGAUGCAGCGACGCCGCGUGAGCGAUGAAGCCCUUCGGGGCGUAAAGCUCUUUCGACCGGAACGAUAAUGACGGUACCGGGCGAAGAAGCUGCGGCUAACUACGUGCCAGCAGCCGCGGUAAUACGUAGGCAGCAAGCGUUGUUCGGAGUUACUGGGCGUAAAGAGUGCGUAGGCGGUUUUCUAAGUUCGGUGUGAAAUCUCCCGGCUUAACUGGGAGGGUGCGCCGAAGACUGGGAAGCUGGAGUGUGGGAAAGGCAGGCGGAAUUCCUGGUGUAGCGGUGAAAUGCGUAGAUAUCAGGAGGAACACCGGCGGUGUAGACGGCUUGCUAGACCAUAACUGACGCUGAGGCACGAAAGCGUGGGUAGCAAACA